rnacentral:ncRNA from 1 species
GGCUGAAACUUAAAGAAAUUGACGGAAGGGCACCACAAGCGGUGGAGCCUGCGGCUUAAUUUGACUCAACACGGGGAAACUCACCAGGUCCAGACACAGUGAGGAUUGACAGAUUGAGAGCUCUUUCUUGAUUCUGUGGGUGGUGGUGCAUGGCCGUUCUUAGUUCGUGGGGUGACUUGGCUGUUUAAUUACGAUAACGAACGAGACCUUAACCUGCUAACUAGCCCGUAUUGCUUUGGCAGUACGCCGGCUUCUUAGAGGGACU